rnacentral:rRNA from 2 species
CACACCAUGGGAGUGGGUUGCACCAGAAGUAGAUAGCUUAACCUUCGGGAGGGCGUUUACCACGGUGUGAUUCAUGACUGGGGUGAAGUCGUAACAAGGUAACCCUAGGGGAACCUGGGGUUGGAUCACCUCCUUA